rnacentral:rRNA from 1 species
GGCACGCUUAACACAUGCAAGUCGAACGCAGUAGCAAUACUGAGUGGCAGACGGGUGAGUAUAAUGUGGGAAUCUGCCUUUUGGUUCGGAAUAACUCGGGGAAACCUGAGCUAAUACCGGAUAAGCCCUUACGGGGAAAGAUUUAUCGCCAAAAGAUGAGCCCGCACUUGAUUAGCUUGUUGGUGAGGUAAAAGCUCACCAAGGCAACAAUCAAUAGCUGUUCUUAGAGGAAGACCAGCCACAUUGGGACUGAGACACGGCCCAGACUCCUACGGGAGGCAGCAGUGGGGAAUCUUGCACAAUGGGGGAAACCCUGAUGCAGCGAUGCCGCGUGAGUGAAGAAGGCCUUUGGGUUGUAAAACUCUUUCGUCGGGGAAGAAAAUGACUGUACCCGAAUAAGAAGGUCCGGCUAACUUCGUGCCAGCAGCCGCGGUAAUACGAAGGGACCUAGCGUAGUUCGGAAUUACUGGGCUUAAAGAGCUCGUAGGUGGUUAAAAAAGUUGGUGGUGAAAUCCCAAGGCUUAACCUUGGAACUGCCAUCAAAACUUUUUAGCUAGAGUAUGAUAGAGGAAAGUGGAAUUUCUAGUGUAGAGGUGAAAUUCGUAGAUAUUAGAAAGAACACCAAAUGCGAAGGCAACUUUCUGGAUCAUUACUGACACUGAGGAGCGAAAGCAUGGGUAGCGAAGAGGAUUAGAUACCCUCGUAGUCCAUGCUGUAAACGAUGUGUGCUAGACGUUGGAAAUUUUAUUUUCAGUGUCGCAGCAAAAGCGUUAAGCACACCGCCUGGGGAGUACG